rnacentral:misc_RNA from 1 species
UGUCUGCGGAACAAUUGAUGCUCCAGGAGUUGCUGAGCCUGUAAACAACCCAGCAACCUGUGUUAAAGGCUGUGAACUUGCAGGCAAAUGCAAAGUUGGAUGCACCCGCUUAGCAGCAGCUUCUUUUUUUGCUGUUUCCCGACGAUCAGCCUCAAGGAAUGGAUCAUUCACAUCCCCUCGACGGCGCUGAUCAGCAAGAUAGGCAGUUUUCAUAGAUUCAAUGUACUGAUGAAUGUUCUCCACCUUAGAUGCCACAUGAACAAAAAAGUCAUGCACAUUUGACAUGACUUUUGGAAGAGACUGCAAUAAUGAGGAUCCAGGGUAAGAAGAGUUCCCAUCAGAAUCUAAGAGAAGCAGUUGAUCUAACUCUUCAAUCCACUGACGGCAUUCACCCAAAUAUUUCUCAAAUCUGACAACUGUUUGCUGUAUAAAUGGGGACGGUUUCUUAGGGAGCCCACUGUAGAAAUCAAACACUCGCACAGUGGAGGCAGAUGCUGCUUGACCAGCAGAAGGCUGGGACGGUGCAGUGGCAUUUGAACCACCUCCUGUAUUAGGAUGAAGGAACCUAGGGUGUAGCAUCAUGAAAGAACGAACAGCCAUCUCUGUAUUCCGUAACAUUUCUUUAACAUUGAACAUGAGCUCCUGUAAUAGAGCUUUCUGUCUUUCCAUGGCAGUGUUGAUCCCUCCAAGCUCCUGAACGAUAAGGCCUGCAUCGAGCUCAAACCCUUCAUUGGAUACUGAGGAAUCAUAGAGGCGGCUACACUGAUCUAGCCUUUGGCUCUCAUCCCUAUACUCCAAUAUCUGCUCCUCGAUUUGGAGUAGAAGUUUCUGGGAAUCCGGAUGGAGAUCUGCCCACUUGGUGCUGUA